rnacentral:lncRNA from 1 species
UUUUGUUAUCAUAAUUUUAUUUAACUUUUUCUAAUUUUUUUCUUAUUUGCAUUGAAAGUCAAUUUUAUUUAUAAGAAUAUAUUUUUUAUUUUUUAUUUAUUAUGGUCAUAGCCCAUGAACAAGUCAAAAUUUAUUUAUUUAUUUUUUUAAAAUAUUUUUUUAUAAUUUUGUUAUUAUGGACAAGUUAAUUUAUAUUAAAUUUUAUUUUAAUUAUUUAUUAAUUAAUCAAUUUCUUGCACUUCCGUGUUGUGCUCGGCCAAGUACCGUGCCGGCCUUGACACAUCAUUGUCAUACACGUGCCGUGCUUGGCUAAGUCUGUGUCGUGCGUUGGCCAAACCCCCACGCCAACUAUCGUGUCGUGCACGUUCUGUGCGGGCCUUUGAACCGGGUCGUGUCGUGCUGUGUGUGGCCACAUAUCGUGUCGUUCCCGUGCGUGCUCUGCCAUUUUCUCUUGCCUCGUUCCUGUGCCCGUGCCUGCCAGACGUGUUUCGUGCCGUGCCGUGCCCAAAACCGUACCCGUGCUGGGUUUUUUCAUGUUUUUUUCCAUGCCGUGCUGGCAAGGACCCGCUUGACACCUCCAGAUGAUCAGAUCAAUUUGUUUCAAAACACAGUUAAAUUUGAAUUACCCAGAUACUAUCAAAAAUCUUCUGAGCUUUUGGGGUACUUGGCAAAUUCAAUGUUUGUAGCAUUGUUAUCAAAACCGAGAACUAGACACUUAACCGGUCCGAUAAACAAAUUUUACUGCAAAUGCAAGUGACCAACAUUGAAUCAGUAGGUUUAGCAUACCAUCAAAACCACUAUCUUAGAUACCACCUAAAGUUUCUCUCCUCAACACUUUGCAAAUUCAAUGUUUGUGGUGACUAUGGGCAGGAAGAAUAUAAAUCUCCAACCAUGUUGGAAGUCCCGCCCCAACUGAAACACAAGAUCAAGCCCAGCCCAAGUGGGAGGCCCAAGCCCCAUGAAACCCAAUCCAAGAAAGAGGAUGGGACGCAACGGGCGGGACACGACAGUACGACUACCACACCCCCCCAAAAAUCUCUCUAGAAGAGCCUCCCAAUUUGGUAAGUUUUGUCAGAGGAUUGUCUCUGAUUGUGAAGAGGCGGAAGAAAAGAGAGACCGGAGGAGGAAGAAAAGAAUGGCAGAGUGAGAGAAGAAGGCUGCUGAAAAUGUAACAAUGGGGGCCGAUUCUUCUCUAUUAAUAAAGGCUCCGUGUGAGAGAGCAAAGAGGCGGAGAAGUACAGAGAGUGAGGAAGAGGGCAGUAUAGUGGGUAGUGCUUGUGAGUGAAGAGAGCAAGACGGUGAGAUAGAGAGGAAGAGUGAGUUGAGUGUGAUCUCCUCCUUGUAUUUAUUGUAAUUCAUUUCUGAUAGUGAUUAACACGAUUCUCUCGUGGGACGGUAGGAAUUUGGGCCGAACCACGUAAAUCUUGUUCUUGUGUGUGGUUGAUGUGGGGGAGUGAAUGGUAACUCGUUUUGGGCACAACAAAACAUCUCCAACCCGCCAUAUCUUAGAUACCACCUAAAGUUUCUCUCCUCAACACUUUGCUCAGCUUCUCAUAGAUAAACUCGCCCAAUAAUUAGUGGUAACUCUCUCCUCUCUCUCUCUCUCUCUCUCUGCUCAGCCUCAUGUGGUUCUUUCUUUUCAAAAAUGAAAAAAUUCAUCUCUUAACAAACAACUUGAGGGAAGGCCCUGAGAGCAUCUCCAACAAUCUCUUUCAUUUAGCAUUUCCCUAUUUUAACUAAAUUAUACUUUGUCUAACUCUCUUUUUUAUCUCUUCCGGCAGUCAAAAUAAAAAAAUUCUUAAAUAAGACACUAUUAUCUCUCUAUACUCUCUAUUAAGCCUUGUUUGUGUAAUUGUUUUUGGUGCUUUGUUUUUUAGUUAUUUUUCGUCAUUAGUAACUUUUUUUAUUGUUUGAUCAAAAUUAUCUCUCUAUAUUUUUUUCAGUUUCUUUUGACGAGAGAAGCUUUAAUAUGUAAAAAAAUCUUAGACUUAAAUUUUUUUUUUACUAAAAACGAAAAAAAUUAUUUUUAUCAAAAAAUAUAUCUAAAAGUGAUAUUUUUUCAUCUCUAAUGAAUUUUUUUUCCAUAUUAGAUAAAGAUAUUUUUAAAAAAUUCGGACUAUUUUUGUCAAAAGAAAACAGAAAAAUAUAAAAAUUUGAUCAAACGGUAAAAAAAGUUCAGUAAAACCGAAAAAAAAUCCAAAAUCAAAAUAGUCAAAAAAACUCAAAUAAAACUUAAAAAAAGGCUAGGAAUGAACAUUGCCUCCGCCACAUUGCCGCAAAAACUCAUUGAAGGAGCCGAAUAGGGGCUAUUGAAUUAAUUUGUCUGAAUAAAAGGAGAUUGAGAGACUAUUGGUAAUGCUCAAAACCCACCACUUUCAUUUCCCUCUCUUUCUCAAUUCUCUCCCUCCAAACAAACAUUACACGGCAUCACGAGCAAGCUUUCUCUUACUACUAAUGUGGUUAAAGCCUUAGUCACACAAUCCGUUGGUAGAGAGCCACGCGCUAUAGAUUCGUCAAACUUACCCUAACGUUGGGAGUAAUUCACGAUUAGUUUGAGACAGUCGCAAUUAGUAUUUCCUGGGGUGAAUUCAUUAUUUUGGUGUUCGAUGGGACCUUCAACGUAAUUUAUUAUGAUUCGUGCCCAUACUUUUCCGCUGAGCCACUAACAACUUUGCUAUUACAUUUUACUUUUUUUAUUAUCAUUAAAAACGUUUCUGGUAUCUAUAGUGAUAUAAUAAAUUUAAUUAAAAAUUCAAUAUUUUUAUAUUAUUUUAUAUAAUCUUAAAAACUCUAUCUGUAGAUAUCAACAAAAUAAACGCUCCCGCCACAACGCUAUCAUUCAAUUCUUGAGUUCACCUUUUACGUACAGUAAUUCUUGAGUUCAGUCAUCCAUAGGGUUUUGUCCUGACUUUAAUUAAAAACUCCUGCAAGUGAACGAUGGAAUUGAUCCCUCGGAUCGGUCGAUCCUUGGGCCGGGUACCAAAUUAUCAAAAAAAACCUGAAGAAUCUCUUAAUUGUUUGUUUACCUACAGAGAUUAUACAAUUUAGGAGCCAAAAAAAGUCAUGUUUGAAAUUGGCCCCACUGGAUGCAUUCCAUCCAUCACAAGGCAAAUCAAACACAAUGGAACAUGUGUUGAGGACGUCGACGAGGCUGUAGCUAUCUUCAACAACCAUCUUCCUUCAAUGCUAAAAAACUUGAACACCACUCUCCCAGGUUCGAACUUCGUCCUCGGUCACGCUUGCUCACCACUGACGUUAUUCCCAAUCCAAAGCCCUACGGUAGAUUCCAGAAUUCUUCUACAAUUCCUUUGUCCUGAGAAAUUGAAUUCACAAGGAAACUGAUUUCUUCUGCUGUCUCCUUCUUUUAGGGCUAACAGACACCAGCAAUCCAUGCUACACUUACUUGGCCAAUGGGAUAUCAAUCUGUAUUCCGCUGCUACAACCGUGUCCAAACAUAGACGAACACGUGUUCUGGGACGGUUAUCAUCUUACUGAAACUAUGUAUUCAUUUAUGGCAAUGCAGUGUUUCUAAGGUGCCUCAGUUUGCAUUCCACAGAACAUCAAGGAGCUAACACAAAUUUAAAAGAUUGUGUGUGACGAGUUGCCAGUUCAUAACCUCAAUGGGUUUCCUUCAUUAUCACACGUCCUUUGUGCAGAGAACUUUUUGUAUGAGUGAUACAAAAAGAACGCAUGUGUUGAGAUUAUUCUGUUCGGGAAAAAGGGAAUGACUAAAGCAUGACCAGUCUCCACGUAAUAAGCCAAAACAUUUGGACUUGCAGCUAACAAUAGUUCGGAAAUUUACAUAGGACACUAGGUGGGACAUGAUUAUAAACUCAAUGCGAUGCAGAUAAAUAUGGUCAAGCACACUUCGUAAACAACUGUGGUAUAGAACUAGGGGGUGUUGCCAAGGUAUAUGGCUGAUGCUGCAGAAACACAAUCACAAAAUAAUAUGGCAAAAUCAGCAGUUCCAACAACACCACUAGCUAUUUCAACACGGACUUCGGGUACAGGUAUCGGAUUCGGAUACGUGUCCAAGUAUCGGAGUUAUCUAAUUCUCAUUUGAAGAAUACAUGGACACGUCAAAAUAUUCAUAUUUCUUAGUAUAAUUUUUUUUAUUUUCCAAGGUAAAUAAUGUUUAUAAAGUUUCAUAACACAUUUCAUAAAUAAUUUGAUAGUUUUAGCAUAUUUCUUUUGUAAACUUGAAUUACUAAAUAUGCUUUGUAGUUGAGUAUUCAACUAAAAAUGUAAGACACAUAUCCCAUACAAAUCUGAGUGUCGAGUGUCCGUAUGGUACUUUUACUUUAGGAAUUCUGUGUGAGAUAGGCUACGAGCAUUAGUCCUCAUAAUCUUCAGGCAUCAAGGUUACUUGUAAACCAUAUCUAAUGUUUGACAAAAGUAUCAAUACCUUUGAAAGGCUAACAAAUGAUAAACUUCCAGCGCAUAAUUCAUGAAAAGCACUAAUAUGGGAAUUGAUGUUUUGGUUGCAAGUCUUGUAUCAUACCCAUCUAUGAUCUAUAGAUAUCAAUGUCAAAAGCAAUAGCAAAAACACCACUAUCAGCCAUUUGUAGGACUAAUUGCUGUAGUAAAUUAUGCAAUCAACGGAUUCAACUUCAAGUAUAGAACCUCGUAUCCAAAUCGUAAAUCGUGUUCGGGUAUUGUGUUUUGAGGUUCAUUACCUACAAAGCCGCAGCGGUGGCGAGUACAAAACUUCACAGCGUACGCAAUUUUGUACUAAAACUUCACAGUUAAACCUGAAAAAUCAACAUCAUGCCCUAAUUCUAUAAAGAUAGUUUUUUCAUUUUUAACUUCAGCUGCAAAGUGAGGAAAUAAACCAAACCACGAAGGCCUAUAGCAUUCACCAUACAAGAGGCACCACGUUUUCAGGCUGUGACUCAUAAACAAAGGCUAUCAAACUAGUUUGAAAGAUAUAAUACAACCCCUCAGAUCAAUUGAGAAAUACUUUCUGAAGUCGAACUAGGAGCGAUUUCGGUUUCGUCAAGGUGCACCUGAAUCCAGGAAAGACAUUCUUUGCCCUGAUCCGUAUUCAAAAAACCCAGCCCAUUGGAUGAUUGCGAACUUUUUUUUUAUUGUUAUGGAACUAAUUUCUAGCAUCACAAAGGGCGGGGAACACCUUUUGCAAUUGAAUAUGGCAGUAAUGAAGUUAAAACUACUAUAUUGGCCGGCGGGACCAAAUUACUAGGUAUAUGCAUCAAGCCAAAGCGCAAACUUAUGCUAAUACAGCUCAUACAGCAGCAGUCAGAAAAAGGGAAUCCCCUUUCUUCCAUCAAAUAUUCCUACUUUUUUUUCCUGGAUACUCGGGUUCAAAUCCCCACGAUUCGCUGUUUGCUUGACUGCUUCAUAUAAUUCCGAAAACACUAGUUUUUCGCGAAGCUUCUUGUUCAAUAUCGCUCAUCAAAGGUGCUUAUUCGAGAAUUUCCAGUAGAGAUUCUUUGGAAUAAAAUAUAAAUGUGAGUUGAGUGGUCAUAUAUCUUGGUACAUAGAUGCUUUUAUACAACACUUUAAACGGUAUUGAUAAGAGGGCUGGCUGAAUUAACUCAUUUUUUUGAUAGACGAAUAAUUGACGGAAUUACGAAUGGACACUGACACUGAGAGACUAAAGCUAGGGGAGCGAAAGGUUAGUAUCCCCAGUAGUCCUAAAAAGGAAUCACUGACUCAAAACCAUUGUCGAAGCCUACUAUCCUACUCAGGCGGAAUAUGGAGUACUUAUUUUGCCAGAACGGGACAAUCUGGUCGGGCACAAUAAGCGAAAUAAAAGAACGCUUAACAACAAGAACAAAGAACUGAUAGUAACACACUGCUUUCAACACAUUCAGAAGAAACACCAACCAUUACCGCAUCAUUAACGAAGUUUAGGCGAGCGCCAAACUUAUCAAAAAUCAAGAGGAAAUCAGGAGAGCUUGAAAUCACAUUCCAUGAACAUAAUAAAGAUACUCAUUAUGGCAAUAUCAGGUACAUGAAGAAGGAUUAACGCUGUGAGGAAAAGAAAAGUAAAGUGAAAAUAGUAAAAUCGGAACCGGUCGUUCUUUUUAACUUUUCGUUUGGCUUUCUUUUUCCUCCACAAAAUCCUUAAUCUAGACAAACAGCUUUAAGGAAAAGGAACCUUGGAUUUUCAGACAAUUUCAGGCAUGUACAUAGUACAAAAACUUCCUUCUAUCUUCUUACAAUUAUUCCCCCAAACUCAAAAUCCAUGAAAGUAGUCCUCUUAAACAAGCUCACCAAUUGUCCAACUGCCCAUUAUGAAAGGCCCGCAUUUGUAUCCUCCAGAAUCAGGGAAAAAGAUGAGACCAAAUCUUUGACAAAAUGAAUCCUCCCUAAGCUGCACCAAAAGGCUGAUUCCAGCAUGAAAUCUGAAUGAACUAUAGGGACUAGCCAAAUAGAAAGGACAACCCGAAUGGAAACUGUGAGAACCUGCUCAUGGAUAUUGACAUAAAGAAGAAGAUAAAGAUGACACUGCAUUUCCUCUGAAACUGCUCAUUGCUUAAUAUAUUAGAAAGUUCAAAGGCCCAAUUUAACAGCUUAAUGGAUCCAAGCAUCAAAUCUUGGCUCAUAGAAACAAACUUGGCUGUUGCAGGACUGAAGAGCGCAGCCAGCAAUCCAAGACGCAAGUUGUCUUAUCCACUCAAUAGAGCAGGGCGGCCCUUCCCCUGGUUCCAAGACGUGAAGCACAUCAAAUUAUCCUGGCCAAAGCACUCGAAUCUCUCCG